rnacentral:rRNA from 1 species
UCGACGGUGAGCAGAGCUUGCUCUGUGGAUCAGUGGCGAACGGGUGAGUAACACGUGAGCAACCUGCCCCUGACUCUGGGAUAAGCGCUGGAAACGGCGUCUAAUACUGGAUACGAGACGUGAUCGCAUGGUCAACGUCUGGAAAGAAUUUCGGUUGGGGAUGGGCUCGCGGCCUAUCAGCUUGUUGGUGAGGUAAUGGCUCACCAAGGCGUCGACGGGUAGCCGGCCUGAGAGGGUGACCGGCCACACUGGGACUGAGACACGGCCCAGACUCCUACGGGAGGCAGCAGUGGGGAAUAUUGCACAAUGGGCGAAAGCCUGAUGCAGCAACGCCGCGUGAGGGAUGACGGCCUUCGGGUUGUAAACCUCUUUUAGCAGGGAAGAAGCGAAAGUGACGGUACCUGCAGAAAAAGCGCCGGCUAACUACGUGCCAGCAGCCGCGGUAAUACGUAGGGCGCAAGCGUUAUCCGGAAUUAUUGGGCGUAAAGAGCUCGUAGGCGGUUUGUCGCGUCUGCUGUGAAAUCCCGAGGCUCAACCUCGGGCCUGCAGUGGGUACGGGCAGACUAGAGUGCGGUAGGGGAGAUUGGAAUUCCUGGUGUAGCGGUGGAAUGCGCAGAUAUCAGGAGGAACACCGAUGGCGAAGGCAGAUCUCUGGGCCGUAACUGACGCUGAGGAG